UCGAGGAUCAUUCGCAAUGGGCGAAAGCCUGACGAUGCGACGCUGCGUGGAGGAUGACGGCCUUCGGGUUGUAAACUCCUGUCAUGGGGGAAAAGCGAGGCGCGAUAACAUCAAGCUUAGCGGAUGGUACCCCAAGAGGAAGCCACGGCUAACUCUGUGCCAGCAGCCGCGGUAAUACAGAGGUGGCGAGCGUUGUUCGGAUUUACUGGGCGUAAAGGGCGCGUAGGCGGCCGUGUGUGUCGGGUGUGAAAUCCCAGGGCUCAACCCUGGAAGUGCGCCCGAAACUGCACGGCUGGAGUGCGGGAGGGGAGAUCGGAAUGCAGGGUGUAGCGGUGAAAUGCGUUGAUAUCCUGCAGAACACCGGUGGCGAAGGCGGCUUUCUGGACUGUAACUGACACUGAGGCACGAAAGCGUGGGGAGCAAACA
rnacentral:rRNA from 1 species